UACGGAGGGUGCGAGCGUUAAUCGGAAUUACUGGGCGUAAAGCGUGCGUAGGCGGCCUGCCAAGUCAGGUGUGAAAGCCCCGGGCUCAACCUGGGAACGGCAUUUGAAACUGGCGGGCUAGAGUUAGGUAGAGGGAAGUGGAAUUUCAGGUGUAGCGGUGAAAUGCGUAGAUGUCUGAAGGAACACCAGUGGCGAAGGCGGCUUCCUGGACCCAAACUGACGCUGAGGUACGAAAGCGUGGGUAGCAAACAGG
rnacentral:rRNA from 1 species